UCUCCACCUCCGCCUCCUCCA
rnacentral:sRNA from 1 species